rnacentral:rRNA from 1 species
UACAGAGGAUGCAAGCGUUAUCCGGAAUUAUUGGGCGUAAAGCGUCUGUAGGUGGCUUUUUAAGUCCGCCGUCAAAUCCCAGGGCUCAACUCUGGACAGGCGGUGGAAACUACCAAGCUGGAGUACGGUAGGGGCAGAGGGAAUUUCCGGUGUAGCGGUGAAAUGCGUAGAGAUCGGAAAGAACACCAGCGGCGAAAGCGCUCUGCUGGGCCGCCACUGACACUGAGAGACGAAAGCUAGGGGAGCGAAUGGG